rnacentral:rRNA from 1 species
CCUACGGGAGGCAGCAGUGGGGAAUUUUGGACAAUGGGCGCAAGCCUGAUCCAGCAAUGCCGCGUGCAGGAUGAAGGCCUUCGGGUUGUAAACUGCUUUUUGUACGGAACGAAACGGUCUGCCCUAAUACGGUGGGCUAAUGACGGUACCGUAAGAAUAAGCACCGGCUAACUACGUGCCAGCAGCCGCGGUAAUACGUAGGGUGCGAGCGUUAAUCGGAAUUACUGGGCGUAAAGCGUGCGCAGGCGGUUAUGUAAGACAGAUGUGAAGUCCCCGGGCUCAACCUGGGACCUGCAUUUGUGACUGCAUAGCUAGAGUACGGUAGAGGGGGAUGGAAUUCCGCGUGUAGCAGUGAAAUGCGUAGAUAUGCGGAGGAACACCGAUGGCGAAGGCAAUCCCCUGGACCUGUACUGACGCUCAUGCACGAAAGCGUGGGGAGCAAACAGGAUUAGAUACCCUGGUAGUCCACGCCCUAAACGAUGUCAACUGGUUGUUGGGUCUUCACUGACUCAGUAACGAAGCUAACGCGUGAAGUUGACCGCCUGGGGAGUACGGCCGCAAGGUUGAAACCUUAAGAGUAGUAGUACGGACGUGAGAGUAGACGACGAGACACGAGGGAGGGAG